CCUACGGGUGGCAGCAGUGGGGGAUAUUGCACAAUGGGCGCAAGCCUGAUGCAGCGACGCCGCGUGAGCGAAGAAGUAUUUCGGUAUGUAAAGCUCUAUCAGCAGGGAAGAAAAUGACGGUACCUGACUAAGAAGCUCCGGCUAAAUACGUGCCAGCAGCCGCGGUAACACGUAGGGAGCAAGCGUUAUCCGGAUUUACUGGGUGUAAAGGGAGCGUAGAGGGUCCUGUAAGUCAGAUGUGAAAGUUUGGGGUUCAACCGUAAACGUGCAUUGGAAACUGCAGGGCUUGAGUACAGGAGAGGCAGGCGGAAUUCCUAGUGUAGCGGUGAAAUGCGUAGAUAUUAGGAGGAACACCAGUGGCGAAGGCAGCUUGCUAAACGGUAACUGACACUGAGGCUCGAAAGCGUGGGGAGCAAACAGGAUUAGAUACCCCAGUAGUC
rnacentral:rRNA from 1 species